rnacentral:miRNA from 1 species
CGAACUGUGGAUGAGCAACAGA